GUUCUCUUUCCUAGUGGCUGGGUCUUCUUCUCCGGUGAGGGUGUCUGGCGGCUAGGGUUAGGGUUUAGUGUGAAGAGAGUUAUUUAUACCCAUCAUUUUUAAUAUAGGUUGUCCAUCGCGUUUGAUCUGAACCGUCCGAUCACGAUUAAAUAAGAAGUAAAUAUGGACUGUUGAUCGCGUUUAAAUUUGGUCGUCUGAUCGCGUAUGGGGAGUGCACGCAUCUAGGCCGUUCAUGCGUGCGAGAACGGAUCUGGGCCAUCCAAUCGCGGGCAUGCGAAUCACCCGCGUGGCCUCCCACGUGGCACCACGUCAGCGUCUGUUGCCAUGCAGCCCGUUUUGGUUUGUCGGAGCUGCUAACCGGGCAUCCUAUAUGGCACAACCUUCUUAAAUUGUAUUUUGACCCUCAGUCUUCGAUUUUUCUUUC
rnacentral:lncRNA from 1 species